UGCGCAGGCGGACUAUUAAGUCAGUGGUGAAAUCUCCCGGCUCAACCGGGAAACUGCCAUUGAUACUGAUAGUCUUGAGUAUAGUUGUAGUGGGCGGAAUAUAGCAUGUAGCGGUGAAAUGCUUAGAUAUGCUAUAGAACACCGAUCGCGAAGGCAGCUCACUAAACUAUAACUGACGCUCAGGCACGAAAGCGUGGGGAGCAAACAGGAUUAGAUACCCUGGUAGUCC
rnacentral:rRNA from 1 species